GAUGAACGCUGGCGGCGUGCCUAAUACAUGCAAGUCGAGCGAACAGACGAGGAGCUUGCUCCUCUGACGUUAGCGGCGGACGGGUGAGUAACACGUGGAUAACCUACCUAUAAGACUGGGAUAACUUCGGGAAACCGGAGCUAAUACCGGAUAAUAUAUUGAACCGCAUGGUUCAAUAGUGAAAUACGGUUUUUCUGUCACUUAUAGAUGUAUCCGCUCCGCAUUAGCUAGUUGGUAAGGUAACGGCUUACCAAGGCAACGAUGCGUAGCCGACCUGAGCGGGGGAUCGGCCACACGGGAACGGAGACACGGUCCAGACGCCUACGGGAGGCAGCAGUAGGGAAUCGUCCGCAAUGGGCGAAAGCAUGACGGAGCAACGCAGCGUGAGUGAUGAAGGUCUUCGGAUCGUAAAACUCUGUUAUUAGGGAAGAACAAAUGUGUAAGUAACUAUGCACGUCUUGACGGUACCUAAUCAGAAAGCCACGGCUAACUACGUG
rnacentral:rRNA from 1 species